rnacentral:misc_RNA from 1 species
UCCUCCGCUUAUUGAUAUGCUUAAGUUCAGCGGGUAGUCCUACCUGAUUUGAGGUCAAAAUGUCAAUGAUUGUCCGAAGACGGUUAUGAGCGGAUUCCCAUAAGUUUUGCUUCAAAGUCAAGAUGGCAUAGAUAAUUAUCACACCAAGUGACGGUCCACAAAGGAUUCCACUAAUGCAUUUAAAGGGAGCAGACCAUCCACUGAAGGAAGCCAGCAAGCCCUCACAUCCAAGCCUCACUCAAGCCGGUAAAAGCGAGAGCAAGGUUGAUAAUUUAAUGACACUCAAACAGGCAUGCCCUU